GGAGUCCCGCUUCCCCUGGACCGGAGGCUGCCAUCUCCAGUCCUACCCACUCCGACGCUGGCUGGUGCCGGGGGCCGGGACGCUCCGUACGCCGCCCGCCAGGGUGUGGAGCCGCACUGGGGCAAGAUCAGGUGGGACAGCCCAAAGACUCCGGGCCAAGUUCCUGGGGGACUCGGCGGAGAUGGAAGAUGAUUCUCGAAGCUCUCCAUUUCCUUAAUUUUGAGGUAUCUUUCUCUGUCACAUUUCAUCUCAGGGAAAUUAAUAUGGGCAGAUGGCGGUUCUUUUAUCUUUGCGGGAGCGUGAUAAAGUUACUCAACCUCUCAGAGCUUCAGUUUUCUCAUCUCAACAGAGCUGGAUGGGAUUUUAAAAAGAGAUUAUAUGUACAUGGAAAGCACUUGAACAGUAGAUUUGAACACCCUCUCUAUAUUUCUUUUCUUUUCUUUCUUCCUUCUUUCUCCUCCUCCUCCUCCUCCUCCUUCUUCUCACUCUCUCUCUUUCUCUCUCUUCCCCCCCACCACAUGUAACGCUAUGGCUCACGCCUGUAAUCGCAACACUUUCGGAAACCGACGCGGUAGGAUAGCUUGAGCCCAGGAGUUCGAGACCAGCUUGGGCAGCAUUGUGAAACCCUGUCUCUACAAAAAA
rnacentral:lncRNA from 1 species